AAACUAUUUACCAAAAAGACAAGGAGAUAACACCCGCAAUGGUAAAUACUAAUAAGGGUGAGUCAGGCCAUGUAAUUUCAACAACAAUAGGUGGUCGAAAUGGCCAACCAAAACAGAUAAUCUCAUACAUGGCAGAGAAUGUAGUUGGUACGGGUUCAUUUGGUGUGGUCUUUCAGGCUAAGUGUAUUGAAACGGGAGAAACUGUUGCUAUCAAGAAAGUGCUUCAGGAUAAGAGAUACAAGAACAGGGAACUCCAAAUCAUGCACUUGCUUGACCAUCCUAAUGUUGUU
rnacentral:misc_RNA from 1 species